CCAGACUCCUACGGGAGGCAGCAGUGGGGAAUAUUGCACAAUGGGGGGAACCCUGAUGCAGCGACGCCGCGUGAGUGAAGAAGUAUUUCGGUAUGUAAAGCUCUAUCAGCAGGGAAGAAAAGCCGACCAUAGGGUCGCUAGACGGUACCUGAUUAAGAAGCCCCGGCUAACUACGUGCCAGCAGCCGCGGUAAUACGUAGGGGGCAAGCGUUAUCGGGAUUUACUGGGUGUAAAGGGAGCGUAGACGGCAGCGCAAGUCUGAAGUGAAAUGCCGGGGCUUAACCCCGGAACUGCUUUGGAAACUGUGCAGCUAGAGUGCAGGAGAGGUGAGUGGAAUUCCUAGUGUAGCGGUGAAAUGCGUAGAUAUUGGGAGGAACACCGGUGGCGGAGGCGGCCUGCUGGGCUGCGACUGACGUUGAGGCCCGAAAGCGUGGGGAGCAAACAGGAUUAGAUACCCUUAUAC
rnacentral:rRNA from 1 species